UACAGAGGUGGCAAGCGUUGUUCGGAAUUACUGGGCGUAAAGGGCGCGUAGGCGGCCUCCUAAGUCGGACGUGAAAGCCCCAGGCUUAACCUGGGAACUGCACUUGUGACUGCACAGCUGGAGUGCGGCAGAGGGGGAUGGAAUUCCGCGUGUAGCAGUGAAAUGCGUAGAUAUGCGGAGGAACACCGAUGGCGAAGGCAAUCCCCUGGGCCUGCACUGACGCUCAUGCACGAAAGCGUGGGGAGCAAACAGG
rnacentral:rRNA from 1 species